UGCUCCAUGGUGUAAUGGUUAGCACACAGGAUUUUGAUUCCUGUAAUACUGGUUCGAAUCCAGUUGGGGUAG
rnacentral:tRNA from 1 species